GGGAGAGGGAGAGAGGGGGGCUGGGAGCUGGGGAGGGGUAGGUGAAAGUGAACGUUGGGGAUGAAGAGGGAGUUACUGGAGAGAUAAAAAGCAGAGAGAAGUUGCCUGCUACGAUUAUCAAAAUAAAGUAAAUUCCAUAACCUUUUUAUUGGAGCAGCUAGCGCAGUCUGCUUCUUCUAUUUCAUACCUGAAGGCGGAAGUUAGGCUUUCAGAUAUUCCUAGGUAGUUAUUAAAAUUAUUCCCUAAGUUAAAACCCUAAACUAUACUCCUUUUGCAUUUUUCUUUUAAUAUUAAACCCGUGUCGCAGGCCAAUAGGCCCAAAAAUAAUAAACCAAGCCUUGAACCCUUUUUUACCCAACUACCUGAUCUAAUGGUCCUACCUGUUAAGCAAGACAUGCCCAAUUCUAAGCAAAUCCAUAUAGGAAAACAAUCCAAAAGAUUGUACUCAAACAUGAAAACUAAAAAGGGAAAUGUUGGAAUCAGAAAAAUCCUCAAGAUGUGGCUAUACGAGCAUAUAAAUACAAAUUAGAUUAAUUAAUUACUAAUGACUCAAAAUUGCGGACUAGGAUAAGGUCGAACAGAUUCCAUUGACACAUGGAAAUUAAUAGAGUUACACAAAUAUGAAAGAGAGCAUACCCAAUAGACACAACAGUUCCGAUGGUUGUAAUGAAUUCCUGCUAUGAUCAGAUAGAACACCAACGAGCAAAGGGUAUUGUGACAUGAGCACUGGUCGGUAAAUUUUUAUGCCAGCCAAUGCUACAUGUAAAAAUGCUCAUUACAAGCCGAAUUCAACAAAAGAGAUGGAUUUGGCGCAAAGUCUGGCCGGUCAACGGGAUUUUCGCUGUCAAAAUUAAAACGAAAAAUGACACCAAACAAAAGGUUUCUCACAACCCUAUCAUCUGGAAUAAGAGUUUAAUAGAAAUGUAGUGGGGUUGAGGUAAUUUGAAGAAAUGACAAAAAAGGUUGAACCUUUACUAUUAGAUUUUCUAACUGAAAAAAAUUGAGAUACUUUUUGCGGAAACUAAUGUUUGAUUACGAAUGACGACAAGAAGAAGAUCAUAAGGUAAUGAUUUAGGUGGGUUUGGAAGUGGUCCACUGCCGGAAGGCAAUUUUCGGUCGGCAGAGCUAGGUAGCUGACUUGAGAUCAUUUGAAAAUUGGGACGGUUAGGGUUCAGGUAUUUUGAAGAGAUAUGAAAUAAAU
rnacentral:lncRNA from 1 species